rnacentral:rRNA from 1 species
UGAGGAAUAUUGGUCAAUGGACGAGAGUCUGAACCAGCCAAGUAGCGUGAAGGAUGACUGCCCUAUGGGUUGUAAACUUCUUUUAUAUGGGAAUAAAGUAUUCCACGUGUGGGAUUUUGUAUGUACCAUAUGAAUAAGGAUCGGCUAACUCCGUGCCAGCAGCCGCGGUAAUACGGAGGAUCCGAGCGUUAUCCGGAUUUAUUGGGUUUAAAGGGAGCGUAGGUGGAUUGUUAAGUCAGUUGUGAAAGUUUGCGGCUCAACCGUAAAAUUGCAGUUGAAACUGGCAGUCUUGAGUACAGUAGAGGUGGGCGGAAUUCGUGGUGUAGCGGUGAAAUGCUUAGAUAUCACGAAGAACUCCGAUUGCGAAGGCAGCUCACUAGACUGCAACUGACACUGAUGCUCGAAAGUGUGGGUAUCAAACAGGAUUAGAUACCCUGGUAGUCCACACAGUAAACGAUGAAUACUCGCUGUUUGCGAUAUACAGUAAGCGGCCAAGCGAAAGCAUUAAGUAUUCCACCUGGGGAGUACGCCGGCAACGGUGAAACUCAAAGGAAUUGACGGGGGCCCGCACAAGCGGAGGAACAUGUGGUUUAAUUCGAUGAUACGCGAGGAACCUUACCCGGGCUUGAAUUGCAACUGAAUGAUGUGGAGACAUGUCAGCCGCAAGGCAGUUGUGAAGGUGCUGCAUGGUUGUCGUCAGCUCGUGCCGUGAGGUGUCGGCUUAAGUGCCAUAACGAGCGCAACCCUUAUCGAUAGUUACCAUCAGGUUGUGCUGGGGACUCUGUCGAGACUGCCGUCGUAAGAUGUGAGGAAGGUGGGGAUGACGUCAAAUCAGCACGGCCCUUACGUCCGGGGCUACACACGUGUUACAAUGGGGGGUACAGAAGGCAGCUACACGGCGACGUGAUGCUAAUCCCGAAAGCCUCUCUCAGUUCGGAUUGGAGUCUGCAACCCGACUCCAUGAAGCUGGAUUCGCUAGUAAUCGCGCAUCAGCCACGGCGCGGUGAAUACGUUCCC